CUGCAUUUCUACCCAUAUUAAUGCUAUCAAUACCACCCAUCAUCUCUUCCUCCUUCAGUUACUGCUCCUGUAUCUCUAUCCAUCCAAAGCUUAUGUCUUCAAUGCUUUCGUUUUGGACUCAGUAAUUGGAUUGUUAGGUGAUUUAGGAGUUAUAUAUGAAUGAGGCUUCAUUUACUGAACUUUCUCAGCAAUGUGUUAGCGAUGUUCAGAUAAGUUUUUUAUUGAUUCUGUUUUAUCUUUUCUUACCUCUUCUGUUCAUGAUUGCCAUCAGUACUUGCAUUAGAAUUUAGAUAGACUGUUCUGCAUUUGAUUAUCUCCAUCACUUGUUUGUAAGAGUCUUGUUUUCUGAUCUGUAGUUACAGAAUCAAAUCAUAUGAAAUAUGGACAUGUCAUCAGCUUCUUAUAUACUGAAGCUGGAAUCUUUGUCAAAAGAACAAUAACAGUAACAAUGAUCCUCAUUAAGAAUUGUUAUUUUAUUUUUUAGUCCAAGUUGGACUGAGAUGGGGUUGGCAAUCACGUUACCAAUUCAAAGUUCAAAGAUUGAUAGGUGGGUAGUCAACUCUCUCAAUUAGACUAGUUGAUAGAAGGUCUACUUUCAAUCACAGGAGGAUGUUCAGUUAAUUAAUCUUAGUUUGGAAUAACUGUCCAAACCAUGUCAAAGAAGACCCAGUUGGAUUAACAAGAUUGGACUGAUCGAUGUGUUGAUUCUUUUGAAGGAAGGACAGGGAAUGGCGGCGGCCGAUGUUGCUCAGUUUCUGUGGAAAAAGUUUUUGAGGUCUCUUGUAGAUUCGGAGUCUGAAUUAUCAGGUGCUAUGAAUCUCUUCUCUUAUUUUGAAGCAAUCAAAAGUGUCUUGGUAAACACACAGAUAAUUCCAUUUUCUUUAGAAAUGUUGAUGCCAUGGAACGCGUCAUGGGAAAUGAGUACUUAUGUUUGGGCUAAUGCUUAUCUGUCUGAGCUCAAUUACGCAUUGGCAGAGUGUCGAAUCUUUGCAAAUGAGGGCAGGGAGAUCAACAAGAAGAUUUUAGUGUACAGUCCUUCCACGGUUUAUUUCCUCCUAAAGAUGAAGAGGCGGCUGACCACACUGAAAAGGAAGUUUGUGAUUUUGGUCUCUAAUGCAAGGGAGCAGAAAGAGAGGAACAACACCGUCAAACGUUUGGUACUACUUACUCAAGCGAAAGUGGCUGUAAAGAAGAAUUUAGAAGAAAUAGUAGUACUUCCUAAUGCAAGUACACUGGAGAUUCAUGAAUUGCUUGUUGAUGCAGAUCGAGUUGGAUUUACUCCAAUUGGAAUAGUAGGCAUGGCUGGCGUGGGUAAAUCUACUAUGGUGCAAGAGGUUUUGACUUUUCAUAGAGUCUCAACUGAGUUUUCGCCCAUAGUUUGGUUAUGCUUGUCGGAUAUAAUCCCAGAAAAAGAACUAGUAGAUAGUACUAGUGCCAGCAUCAGCAUUGUGACAUGCAUACUUGACAAGUUGGGCGAGAAAGAAACAAGUAUUUCUGGACUCGGCCUUGAUUCAGUCUUGGAAAGGCUCAACCAUAUUUUAUCGGCUAAAAGGUAUCUGAUUGUGUUGGAUGAUGUGUGGCAUACUAUGGAAUUCUACUCGGAUAUAGGUCAUAAUCUUCCAGAAGGUGAGAAAUUUGGUGAUCGCCUAUCACACGGAUUACCCAAGGAUUGUGGUGGUGCGGUCAUUGUCACUAGUAGGAUAAGAGAGGUGGCUCAAGACAUGGUAGGCCAGAAUAAUGUAUUUCUUGCUAGGCCUUGGGACAAAGGAUGGUGCUGGAUGCACUUCAGGUCCUUUGUCACGACGAAAGCAGAAGGUUUCGGUGAAGAAAAACGUUUUAGCAUGUCAAAUUGGGAAAUAGUGCAGAAGAUUGAAAAUGAAAUUCUGGAUCAAAUUGGUGGUCUACCAUCAAUUGCUAAGGCACUCGCAGAACUAAUAGUUGAAAAACGGAUUAGUGAGACUGAUGAUAAGGGGUCUGCCCUGAAGGAGAUGUUGAUACCUCAUGAAUUUCUUAUUCAUCGUUCAUACAUAUUUGUUCCAGUCAACGAAAGGAACAUAAAAUGGAUUGCUGAUAAAACUGACAUACCAAAAUGCCCAGUCUUCGUGUUUGUUGAUUUAAAAAUGGAAUUCUUUGCAGUAAGACUUCUGGAAGAAUUUCGCUAUCAGCUUAAUCAAGAUCAGGUUAUUGCUGUUCUAGACCAGAGUUUCGUUAAUAGGCAAAAGAUAAAGACAGAGGAACCAGAGAAAGCGCUAAAAGAGUUUUAUGGCAUUCUCGAAAAUCUUAAGUGCAAAGGACAUAAAUUUGCUGAUGAGAUUCAAAAGAAGAUGACAAUUAUGAUUGUUGGCGGGGAUGUUUUUGCUAACUGGUUUAUGGGAGUUAUCUGUGAUCUAAAAUUGCCAGGCUCACCCUCCAUUGUUCCUAUAGCAUUGGGAAUCAAAGCUAACAUUGCAAGUUCAUUUGGAUGGGAGUUUGAUGCUGAUAAAGUACCAGUGAACAAGAUUUUGGGGAUGGUACUAAAUCAUGCAAAGCAGAUGAAAACAGACAGCUGGCAUAUCCUCAUUAAGGUGAAAGCGACAGCUCAUCAACAAAUACCCUAUUGUUUGCAUUUAUUUCAUGAAGCAGAUAUGGAAAAUGAGGAUAAUACGACAUUAAUAUACGGAGGAUUUUGGAACUACUUCAGCUUGGGAGUCGAUGACCCAAGGUUGUAUGGAGCUUCCCGCUUUCGUCAUACUUCAAGGACCUUAAGCAUCGCACUUGCAAAAGUAGAGGUUUUGAAACAUCAUGGUGAUCAGUGGGAGGUGCUUAGCAUUCCUAGUAGCAUCAGAUCAAUUGUUUGUCUUAACUUGCCUAGUUUUCUUGGUGAGCUAACUCCUUGGACGACAGCAGAUAUAAAGAAAGAUCAAACAAGAGGCCUGUCCUCAUCUUUCAUAGAUGAUGGAUAUCUUGAAAUUAUUGGUUCAAAAGAUGAUUUACUUUCCCAGAAGAAAAGGUGGAUACGCCUUGAUCAGGUAAGAGAAAUUCGCUUCAAGUUUAUUGAGGAUUCAGUUGAGGUUGUAAACAUGAUGAUCGAUGGAGUACUGUGGAAAAAAACCCCACUUGAUGGUUUAGUCGAGAUUGAAAUCUCUUACAACUGUCAAGUUAACAUUCUUGUUAAACAAGAUUACUCAGCAAGAAGUAUCCAUGACUCAUCGCAACCCUGUGGGUCAGAAACUGCUGAUGAUGACGAUGCUAAAGGACGUAAGAAGAGUGGUGGAGCAAGCACAUCAAGUUUCCUCAUUGAUGAUAAUGAGCUUGAAGAGAAAUCUCAAGGACAUAAAAAAAUUGGUGCAGCAAGCAGCUUUAAAAUCUUCGAGGAGGAUGACAUUAAUUAGUUACUGAAGAUUACUCUGAAUGACGUGAGAAGAUUGGUGAGACAUCCCCUAUUGUGAUGACAAUGCUGAAGAUUACUUCACUGUAGGACAUGGAGUUUGAAGAAGCAAGCAGUUCCAAACACCCCUAGUUCUACAGGCUGUGGAGUGAGUUUUCUCCUAUAUAUAGUUUGGUUAUGUUUGUCAGAUAUAAUCCCAGAGAAACAAGUUGUACUAGAUAGCAUUAGGUUCAGUAUUUUUAGAAUUGUGACAUGUAUUAUUGAUAAGUUGGGUGAGGAGGAGACAUGUAUUUCUGGCCUUGGACGUGAUUUGCUCUUGGAAAGGCCAACUAUCUUCUAUUAGGCAAAAGUAUCAGGUCAAUUCUUUGUCUCAACUUGCCUUGCUUUCAUGGUGGACUAAAUCCCUGGCAAAUAGGACAUUCAAAGAAAGAUCAAAAGAUCGAGAGGCCUGACCCCAUCUUUCAUAGAUGAUGCACGCCUUGAAAUUAUUGGUUCCAAAGAUGACUUCCUUUCUCAGACGAAAAGGAAAGAGUGGAUUCGCCUUGAUCAGGUACGGGGAAUUCGAUUUGAGUUUACUGAGGGCGCAGCAGAGGCUAUGAGCAUGAGGAUAGACGGAGCACCAUUGGCACUUGAUGUCAUCACAUCGAUUGAAAUCUCUUAUCACGUACGGUAAACUCAACAUCCUUGCCCAUCCAAAUCGUGAUUGCCCAGCAAAGAGUACCCACGAGUCGUCACAACCCCGCGUCUCUGAAACCGAUGUUAACAACAAUAUUGCUAAAGAUGGCUCCUCUGGAGGACAUAAGGAGCUGCUGGGUGUAGCAAGCACUGAUUCCAAACUUCCCAUUGAUGAUAACAAGGCUAAAGACCACUCUGAAAGCCAUAAGACGAUGGGUAAUGUAGCAAGCAGUUCCAAAAUCCCCAGUCAUGAUGGCAAUGCUGAAGAUUAUUGCCAUGAAUGGCGUCAUAAGAAGUUUGGUGCAGCAAGUACCUUCAAAUUCGAUCCUGAUUAUAAUCCUUAUUCUGAUUCUGAUUCUGAUUCUGAUUGUCCGAUUUAAUAAGAACGAAAAACAGAGCGGUAGACAACGUGAUGAUUAGUAAUUACUGUGGUCUGUAUUAAUAAUUGACGAAAUUAUCCUAUAAACUUGGGUGCAGCAAGCACUUCCA